rnacentral:tRNA from 1 species
CGGAGUGUAGCGCAGCCUGGUAGCGCACUUGUCUGGGGGGCAAGGUGUCGUGGGUUCAAAUCCCGCCACUCCGACCA